AGGACGAACGCUGGCGGCGUGCUUAACACAUGCAAGUCACGGGGGCCCGCAAGGGUAACCGGCGAACGGGUGCGUAACACGUGAACAACCUGCCCUCGUGUGGGGGAUAGCCGGGCUAACGCCCGGGUAAUACCGCAUACGGUCAUCGAGAGGAGUCUCUUGGUGAAGAAAGCUCCGGCGCACGGGGAGGGGUUCGCGGCCUAUCAGCUAGUUGGCGGGGUAAUGGCCCACCAAGGCGACGACGGGUAGCUGGUCUGAGAGGAUGGCCAGCCACAUUGGGACUGAGAGACGGCCCAGACUCCUACGGGAGGCAGCAGUGGGGAAUCUUGCGCAAUGGCCGAAAGGCUGACGCAGCGACGCCGCGUGUGGGAGGACGCCUUUCGGGGUGUAAACCACUGUUGCCCGGGACGAAUAUCCUGUUUUGACAGGAUUGGACGGUACCGGGUGAGGAAGCACCGGCUAACUCCGCGCCAGCAGCCGC
rnacentral:rRNA from 1 species